AUUGAAGAGGCUAUUAAAGACAUCUCAAUGUUUACACUCGAUGAGUAGAUGGUCUUCUACUCCAUGAUGGUUUCCAGUGAUUCGGAUGUCAGGAAGUGGAAGAAAAAUUCAAAUUCCGAAUAAGAGAGAAUUUCUUUUUAUUAGGUAAAGAUUCCAAGUUCUAUUGUAAUAUAAAACUAAAAUGCUUAUUCCACAAUCACUUGAGAGAUGCCUUCGUCAUAAGGCCCCUUUCCGAUUGGAGAGAAUUUAUCCUCGGUAAGGAAUCGCCGACCUUGAAAUAUUAAAAAAAUGCUUAUUCCACAAGAUUAGGGAGAUCUUUUUCUUUACGAUCUGAUCCCUUUUAAAUUUAGUAUAAAAUAAAAUGUUUAUUCAGGGAGAUCUUUCCUUAAUGAUUUGAUCCCUUGUAAAUUUAUAGAGAUACUUUUCUUUA